AACGAACGCUGGCGGCAGGCCUAACACAUGCAAGUCGAGCGCGCCUUCGGGUGAGCGGCGGACGGGUGAGUAACGCGUGGGAAUAUGCCCUUCUCUACGGAAUAGUCCUGGGAAACUGGGGGUAAUACCGUAUACGCCCUUUGGGGGAAAGAUUUAUCGGGGAAGGAUUAGCCCGCGUUGGAUUAGGUAGUUGGUGGGGUAAUGGCCUACCAAGCCGACGAUCCAUAGCUGGUUUGAGAGGAUGAUCAGCCACACUGGGACUGAGACACGGCCCAGACUCCUACGGGAGGCAGCAGUGGGGAAUCUUAGACAAUGGGGGCAACCCCGAUCUAGCCAUGCCGCGUGAGUGAUGAAGGCCUUAGGGUUGUAAAGCUCUUUCAGCUGGGAAGAUAAUGACGGUACCAGCAGAAGAAGCCCCGGCUAACUCCGUG
rnacentral:rRNA from 1 species